UGGGGAAUCUUGGACAAUGGGCGCAAGCCUGAUCCAGCCAUGCCGCGUGAGUGAAGAAGGCCUUAGGGUUGUAAAGCUCUUUUACCAGGGACGAUAAUGACGGUACCUGGAGAAUAAGCCCCGGCAAACUUCGUGCCAGCAGCCGCGGUAAUACGAAGGGGGCUAGCGUUGUUCGGAAUUACUGGGCGUAAAGCGCACGUAGGCGGGUCGUUAAGUCAGGGGUGAAAUCCCGGAGCUCAACUCCGGAACUGCCUUUGAUACUGGCGACCUUGAGGCCGGAAGAGGUUAGUAGAAUUCCCAGUGUAGAGGUGAAAUUCGUAGAUAUUGGGAAGAACACCAGUGGCGAAGGCGGCUAACUGGUCCGGAUCUGACGCUGAGGUGCGAAAGCGUGGGGAGCAAACAGG
rnacentral:rRNA from 1 species